AGUGAACGCUGGCGGUAGGCCUAACACAUGCAAGUCGAACGGCAGCACAGGAGAGCUUGCUCUCUGGGUGGCGAGUGGCGGACGGGUGAGGAAUACAUCGGAAUCUACUCUGUCGUGGGGGAUAACGUAGGGAAACUUACGCUAAUACCGCAUACGACCUACGGGUGAAAGCAGGGGACCUUCGGGCCUUGCGCGAUUGAAUGAGCCGAUGUCGGAUUAGCUAGUUGGCGGGGUAAAGGCCCACCAAGGCGACGAUCCGUAGAUGGUCUGAGAGGAUGAUCAGCCACACUGGAACUGAGACACGGUCCAGACUCCUACGGGAGGCAGCAGUGGGGAAUAUUGGCCAAUGGGCGCAAGCCUGAUCCAGCCAUACCGCGUGGGUGAAGAAGGCCUUCGGGUUGUAAAGCCCUUUUGUUGGGAAAGAAAUCCAGCUGGCUAAUACCCGGUUGGGAUGACGGUACCCAAAGAAUAAGCACCGGCUAACUUCGUUCCAUCCGCCGCCGUAA
rnacentral:rRNA from 1 species